rnacentral:misc_RNA from 1 species
GAAGUGCGAUAAGCAAUGCGAAUUGCAGAAUUCCGCGAGUCAUCAGAUCUUUGAACGCAAAUGGCGCCGGAGGGAUAUCCUUCUGGCAUGUCUGUUUCAGUGUCUGAGAGGUUUCACCAACAUCUUAAUGUGAUUGACAGCAGCAGCAGCAGCAAGCAAUUGUUGUGGUUGGUGUUGUCUCUCAUGAAAGAUGCGCGAGUGGAUCUUUCGGUCCAAUGAAGUGGUCACAUCACUCGUAUGUGAUUUCAUUGGGAGCACCGAAUUAUCCGCCAUGCUCGCGGUGUCAUCAUAUAAUAUAUGACGAAAGCAAGAAAGAAAGAAAGAGUUUCUUUCUUCUUCUUCUUCUUCUUUGGUUGUAUUUUUUUUCUCUCUCUACACCCUGCAUCUGAGAUAGGCAAGAUCACCCGCUGAACUUAAGC